GCGCGGGUGGCGGAACUGGCAGACGCGCAGGAUUUAGGUUCCUGUAGGGCAACCUGUGAGGGUUCGAGUCCCUCCUCGCGCA
rnacentral:tRNA from 1 species